rnacentral:rRNA from 1 species
GUGUCAGCCGCCGCGGUAAUACCAGCUCUCCGAGUGGUAGGGACGAUUAUUGGGCUUAAAGCGUCCGUAGCCGGCUUAGCAAGUCUCCUGUUAAAUUCAGCGACCUAAUCGUUGAGCCGCGGGAGAUACUACUAGGCUAGGAGGCGGGAGAGGUCGAUGGUACUUCCGGGGUAGGGGUGAAAUCCUAUAAUCCCGGGAGGACCACCAGUGGCGAAGGCUGUCGACUAGAACGCGCUCGACGGUGAGGGACGAAAGCUGGGGGAGCAAACCGGAUUAGAUACCCGGGUAGUCCCAGCCGUAAACGAUGUAGGCUCGGUGAUGGACUGGCUCCGAGCCAGUCCAGUGCCGCAGGGAAGCCGUUAAGCCUACCGCCUGGGGAGUACGGCCGCAAGGCUGAAACUUAAUGAAUUGACGGGG